AUGGAUGACACAACAUAUUGCCAGCUAGAUAGAGAUCUCGGGUCUUCAAAAACCGUGUUCAUGGGACAUCGAAGGUGGCUUUGGAACGAUGACUCAUGGAGGAAACGCAAGGAUCUGUUCAAUGGUGAAACCAAACCCCGAAGACGCCCGCGUACGAGGAGCGGCAAGGAAAUAGACGAGCUGUUGAAAAAUUGGAAAGAUUGCCCACUGCUGGGAAAGAAGCAAAAGGCGCAAGAGCCAGGAAAGAAGCGAAAGGCGCCAGAGCCGCUGCUGAAGGUAUGGAAAACGAGGUCUGUUUUCUAG
rnacentral:rRNA from 1 species